rnacentral:misc_RNA from 1 species
UCAACGCCAGCCUCACACAACCGGCGACCGGUGUUUUCACCGGCGUGUUCACCAAUUCCUACGGCGAAAAUGUCACGCCUGAUUUCGUCGGCAACAUCCGUAUCGAGCAGAAGGACUUCACCGCGCAGCUUUCAGGCGCCGUGCACAAUAUCCGCGCCAACUAUUAUGCCGGCCCCGGCGGCAUCGCCCCGGUCGAACCCAACGGGCAUCCGGACGA